GAUGAACGCUGGCGGCGUGCCUAACACAUGCAAGUCGAGCGGAAAGACAAUGAGCGUUUGCCUUUGAGGGUAGCGGGGGGCGGAAGGGUAACAAGUGGAUCACCAACUUCUUAUACGCGGAGGACACCGGGGAAAAGCGGCGAAUACUAGCUAAUACGACGGACGGCUGGGUGCAAAGGUGAUAGGUGGCUUUGGUGUUACAGUGAGAUGAACUCGUGCCGGAUUAGCUGGUUGGUAAAGGAACGGCCUGGCAAGGCGACGAUCCGGGGCCGACCUGAGAGGCUGAUCGGCCACACUGGAACUGGGACACGGUCCCGACUCCUACGGGAGGCAGCAGUAGGGAAUGUUCGGCAAUGGGCGGAAGCCUGACGCAGCCAGCCCGCGUGAGUUAUGAAGGCCUUCGGAUCGUAAAGCCCUGUUAUUGGGUAAGAACAGCUGUCUGAGUAACCGUGGCCGUCUUGACGGUACCUAAAGAGAAAGCGCCGGCUAACUACGUG
rnacentral:rRNA from 1 species